rnacentral:misc_RNA from 1 species
AAGAUUUGGAAGGACAGAAGUAAAGUAACACUACGAUAUAUUUUAUUUAUAAGUAGAUUAUAUUUUUGGAAGAAUACCAUUGAAGCAAAUACAGAAUCCAAUUUCCCAACUAGCGAGUAGUGAUGAUGGAGUACUUGCUGGGUUCUGUACUAAGUCUUCUCUUCACCUUAGCCUUUGUUCAAACUCUGAUUUUUAUUUUAAAGGGAAGCAAAAUAAGAAGUCCGGGCAAACUUCCACCGGGUCCAGCACCUUUACCAAUCUUAGGUAACAUUUUUGAACUUGGUGACCAACCCCACAAGUCCUUGGCAAAGCUUGCCAAGAUUCAUGGCCCUCUGAUGAGUCUACGACUAGGCCGGGUAACUACGGUAGUCAUUUCUUCUGCAACACUAGCCAAGGAAGUCCUCCAAACGC